GGCGGAGUGACCGAGUGGUUAAGGUGAAGCACUCGAAAUGCUUUGGUUUCGGCCGCGCAGGUUCGAAUCCUGUCUCCGUCG